rnacentral:rRNA from 1 species
UUUGAUCCUGGCUCAGAGCGAACGCUAGCGGCGGGUCUAACAGAUGCAAGUCGAGCGGGCAGCUUCGGCUGUUUAGCGGCGAACGGGUGAGUAACACGUAGGUAAUGUGUCCUCUGGUGGGGAAUAACCGUGUGAAACCAUGGCUAAUACCGCAUAUCGUGCUUCGGCAUGAAAGCCUUCGGGCGCCAGUUGAGCAGCCUGCGUCCCAUUAUUUAGUCCUAGUUGGUAGGGUAAUGGCCUACCAAGGGUACGAUGGGUAGCUGGUCUGAGAGGAUGAUCAUCCACACUGGAACUGAGACACGGUCCAGACUCCUACGGGAGGCAGCAGUGGGGAAUAUUGCGCAAUGGGCGAAAGCCUGACGCAGCCACGCCGCGUGAGUGAUGAAGGCCUUCGGGUUGUAAAGCUCUGUCGGGAGGGACGAAAGGAGCAAUCCUUGACGGUACCUCGCAAGAAAGCACCGGCUAACUCUGUGCCAGCAGCCGCGGUAAUACAGAGGGUGCAAGCGUUGCUCGGAUUUACUGGGCGUAAAGCGUACGCAGACGGUGAGAAAGGUCGGAUGUGAAAGCCCCGGGCUCAACCCGGGAACUGCAUCCGAAACCAUCUCGCUAGAGUAUGG